UGUUGUCAUUGCCGAUGGCUGCUUGUACUUCCGGGUUAGAGCGCUAUGUUCUGUGCCAUUUGACUGCUUGCAAGUAAAACGUCUUUUCUUCCGAAAUACAGCGGUUUUCAGUGCAGAAAUGACGUUGAAAGAUUUUACAAAAUGGAACAGGGCUGUCUCUACGGUUUACGCCCUGGGGGUGUGGACUAUGAUCAGCUCCUUUGCAUACUUUCAUUACACAGGUCGUUUCCAAAACAGCACAGACUUGGCUCAAAAUGAAGAAGAAAAAACUGAAAAAUCGAAGGAUGGAAAUGAAGUUGUCUACCAGACUGCUCACUCCAAAACUAUCAUCGUCUACAAAAAAGACUUUGUUCCGUACACAACAAGAAUCUACAAUUUAUUUCAGUCAUUCACAGGUGGUCCUGGGACUGGAGACAGUUGAAAUUCAUAUGGACGCUAUGUACUUGUACAAUGUGAAGAAAUACAUUUUUGUGAGGAUGAAAUGAAAUCCACUGUGUACAUCUUCUAAAACUACAAGGAAAGCCACACCUAAAUACUUAUUGGCAUCAAUAAAAAAAAAAAAAAAAAUAGCUUUCCGCUAUUGUUGCUGGUCAAUCAGCCUAUAGUCUGAUGUUGAGGAAAAUGAUUAUUUGAUUUUACAUUUGUACUGAUGAUAAAUGUUAUAUGAUCAAUAUGUGGUGUACAAUGUAAUGCAGCCCUAUUGGGGCACAUGCAAGUGCAAUCUGUAGGCCAGGCCCACAUAACUGUAGAGGUUUGUGUCAGGAAGGGCAUCCAGCGUAAAACUAUGUUAAACAAAUAUGAGCAUUAAUCUAGAGAAUCCCAUACCAGUAUUGUGGCCUUGGUUAACAAUACCCGCCCCUGGCACCGCUAACCUGGAGGGCGUUGGUGGAAAUUCAGCUACUGUGGGUCGAACACAAAAGAGGAGGAAACUGGAUUCAUCGGCAGAAGAAGAAGAGGAAUGCGCAGAGCCUAUGACUGAGUGUUGGUACUUUGAAUGUUGGGACCAUGACAGGAAAAGGUCAGGAGUUGGUUGACAUGAUGAUUAGGAGAAAGGUUGAUAUAUUGUUCAUCCAAGAGAGUAAAAGGAAUGGUGGUAAGGCUAGACAUUUAGAAGCAGAAUUAAACUAUUUUAUCUUGGAGUAGAUGGGAAGAGAAAUGGAGAAGGGCUUAUUUUAAAGAAAGAGCUGGCGAAGAAUGUCUUGGAGGUGAAAAGGGUAUCAGAUCGAGUGAUGAGGCUCAAAUUUGAAAUUGAGAGCGUUAUGUAUAAUGUGAUUGCCCCACAGGUAGGAUGUGACCGAGAGUUGAAAGAGAAAUUCUGGAAGGAACUAGAUGAAGUAGUUCUGGCAUCCCAGACAGAGAGAGCGUUGUGAUUUGUGCAGAUUGUAUUGGACAUGUUGGUGAAGGAAACAGGCGAUGAAGUGAUAGGUAAGUCCAGCAUCCAGGAAAGGAACUUUGAGGGACAGAUGGUGGUGGACUUUGCAAAAAGGAUAGAAAUGGCAGUAGUGAACACUUUUUUUUUUCCCAGAAGAGGUAGGAACAUAGGGUUACCUACAUGAGCCGAGCUCGAAGCACCCAGGUGGAUUACAUUUUGUGCAGAAGAUGUAAUCUUAAGGAGGUUACUGACUGUAAGGGAUGAGUGUCGCUCGACCGCAUAGGAUGGUGGUGGGUAGGAAGAUUAAGAAGGCAAAGGUAGAGCAGAGAACCUUGUGGUGGAAGCUGAGAAAGGAAGAAUGUUAUUCUUUCUUUUGGAAAGAGAUGAGACAAGCUCUCGAUGGACGGGAGGAGGUCUAGGAAGACUGGACUACCACGGCCAAGGUGAUCAGAAAGACAGGCAGGAGAGUACUUGGUGCAUCUUCAGGUAGGAAAUGGGAGAAGGAGACUUGGUGGUGGAACCCCAAAAUACAGGAAGUCAUACAAGGAAAGAGAUUAGCAAAGAAGUGGGACACAGAGGACUAAGGAGAGGCAAAACAUUGUGAUGCGACAUAGGGCAAAGGUAGAGGUGGGGAAGGCUAAACUAGAGGCAUAUGACGACAUGUACACCAGGUUGGAUACGAAACAAGGAGAAGAGGAUCUCUAAAUUUUGGCCCGACAGAGGAACAGAGAUGAGAAGGAUGUGCAGCAAGUAAGGGUGAUUUAAGAAAAGAGAUGGAAAUGUGUUGACUUGUACCAGUAGUGUGCUAAAUAGAUGGAAAGAAUAUUUUAGGAAGUUGAUGAAUGAAGAAAUGAGAGAGAAGGAAGAGUAGAUGAGGCAAGUGGGAAGGAGCAGGAAUUGCCAAUGAUUAGUCAGGGGGAAGUUAGAAAAGCACUUCAAAGGAUGAAAAAUAGAAAGGCAGUUGGUCCUGAUGACAUAGACAGAGGUAUGGAAGCAAUUUGGAGAGGUGGCUGUGGAGUUUUUGACCAACUUAUUCAAUAAAAUACCAGAGGGCUAGAAAAUGCUUGAAUGGAGGAAAAGUGCUCGUUCCCAUUUUUAAGAACAAAGGCGACGUUCAGAGCUGUUUAUUUUAUAUAAUUAUAGAGGGAUAAAGUUGAUGAGCCACACAAUGAAGUUAUGGGAAACAGUAGUGGAGGCUCGACUCAGGACAAAAGUAAGUAUUUGCGAGCAACAGUAAUGUUAAUGCCUAGAAAGAGUACCACCGAUGCAUUAUUUACCUUGACCAGAAUGAGCUACAUUGUGUCUUUGUAGAUCUACAGAGUACCAAGAGAGGAACUGUGGUACUGCAUGCGUAAGUCUGGUGUGGUGGAGAAAUAUCUUUAGAAUAAUAGGACAUGUAUGACGGCACAGCAGACCGAUGGUGAGGUGUACCUUAGGUGUGAGAGAAGAAUUUAAGAUGGAGGUGGGACUGCAUCAGGGAUCACCUCUGAUUCCUUUCCUGUUUGCUGUUGUAAUGGAUAGGCUGACAGAUGAGGUUAGACUGGAAUACUCUUGGACUCUGAUGUUUGCAGAUGCUAUUGUGAUAUGAAGUGAAAGCAGGGAUUAUGCAGAGGAACAAUUAAAAAAUUGGAGGCGUGCUCUGGAAAGGAGAGGAAUGAAAAUUAGCCAAAGUAAAACAGAAUAUAGGUGUGUUAAUGAAAGGCGUGAAGGGAGAAGAAGCGAGGGUGGACGAUUUCAAAUACUUGGGGUCAACAAUGCAGAGCAAUGGCGGGUGUGGUAAGGAAGUGAAGAAACGGGUCCAAGCAGGUUGAAACAGGUGGCGCAAGGUGUCUGGUGUGUGAUGUGAAGGAAUACUCCGCUGAACUAUGAAAAGCCUUCAUCCGAUAAAUCAUGUCAUCUGUACCUUGAAAAUUUGAGGUUGAUCCGAUAUCAUUUCAUGGUGUUUUUAAAGUUUUUUAUUGGCAAAUACGAAUUUUCAUGGGCGCCAUGGACAGUGCAGAUUUCUCGGAUUUAUCCUCAUCUGAUGAAGAAAUAGCAGUAUCGGUUGAUCGGGAAGACAGAGGAAUACGUCCGUUCAGAUUUGAACCUGUGGCUGUAAAUCAUGGUGAAUAUUUGGAUGGAUUUUCACAGGGUUUGCACGCAGCCCUAAAGUCCCUAAAAACCCCAAAAUUUUCGAAGGUGCAUUUACGGGCUCCUGAAAGUCCUUAAAAAUCCGCAAAAACCAGUCAAGCCCCUAAAAAGGCCUUAAAUUUAAAAAAAAAUUCACAGGGAGGACCUCUCCCGCCAAAAUUCUCCCUAAAAAAAAAAUAUCUUUUAUUUUAAAAAAAUAGCGAUCCGUCUGGCGUCCAAAACAGUUGGAAAUUGUCAACGGAAGUCACUGUGUUGACAACUUGUCGCCAUCUUGUCGAUAUUCCAUAGUUUGUUUCCGUGAGUAGGCAUUUCACUUCGUCUUCGUUACGACGUAGCAUAGUUCUUUCAUCGAUCCAACUUGUAUCAUGGGGAAGUGCAUUUUUCAAUAUGCUUGGGUUGAAAGUAAGGAGUUCGGGAGCUGGGUUCGUCGAGAUCCAAAAGAUCGGCACAUGUUUUACUGCCAUCUUUGCAAGCAGAGUUAGCAGCUUGAAAAGAUGGGCCUCAAAGCGCUGGAGUCGCACCGGAAAAACAGGAGACACGCUGAUUUGGCGAAGACUCAUCUUUCGUUGGUAUGAAUCUGUUUCUAAAAUAUCAAGAUUGUGAAGCAUCAACUUCAGGCAGUGGUACUAGCAGUGCAUGCGCACUUACAGUUGUCCAGUCAUCGACUUCAACCAGCCGGAAGUCAGGCUUUAUGAACGUAGUUCAAUACAUGAAGACGGACUCGUUAAAGGCAGAGAUCGUGUGGACUUUAAAAGUGAUCUGCAACCAUUACAGUUACAAAUCUUGUGAAAAUAAUUCGAAAGUGUUUGUAGUCAUGUUCCCAGACAGUGACAUUGCUAAAAACUACCACUGUGGGGAAAGGAAGACUUCGUACCUGGCUACAUUUGGCAUCGCUGCCCACUUUUCAUCUCUACUGCCUCAAAGCCAAAAAAGCCAGAAUAGAGACUGACAUAUCAACGCUUAUUGAGAAGGCUGACAGGCUUUGUGAGGAGGCAGAAGAAAAGAUGAAUCUGAGGUUUAUCACCGAGGCCAAUGCACUCAGAGGCAGAGCAAAGGACAAGAGAGCCACUUUGGUACCUCUGCAGCAACAAAUAGAGGAGGCACUGGGUAGGCUCAAGGAGCUAGAGUAGGCAUGCUGAGACAGACAUCAGUAGAAGACAUUUGUGUAUAUAGUUGCAAUUGUAGUUAGAAUCUGUUUUUCUGUAGACUGUUAUGUGAAGACAUUGACAAUGGUCACAUCAAUGAGAACUUCCACAAGGGGCGACAGGUGAUCACUGUCACAGGUACUGAGGUAGUGGAACAAUUGAUGAACCAAGAACGGUGGAUGGCACCAUUGGGUGAGUCUUUUUUCCUUAUUCUUGAUUUCCCACGAUGGCCCUAAAUUUUUCGUGUCAGCCCCUAAGAAUGCCCCUAAAUAGCCCUUAAAUGUUUUGGGUCAGACUGAGUAUGAACCCUGUUUCAGAUGGGAAUGAUGUGGAGUCUGACUAGCUAACAAACCACAGGCGUAGAACGGUCGAACGCUGAUCGUGUCGGAACAAUAAUUAUGGAAACGUUUGACAAAGGUCACUCAAAGAAAAAAAAUAAAUAAAAAUAAAUAAUUUUCAACAAGAAUGAGCAGCCUUUGUGUAUAGGGAGGGUUCUGCUGUGUGUUUAAAUUCACAGAUGGAGUAUGCCACACCAUUCGUACUCAAUUGCCAAUCAACAUUUUGCCAUCUUCGCAUAAAGACAAGAUAAUCAAACGGAUAAAAGACAUACCUUUGUUGGCAAGAACUGUUCACCAUCAUACCAUCAUGAUGGCAAAUCAAAUUGAAUUACAGUCACGAUGACCGGAUGGAAGUCUCAACGCCUGCCUGACGUAUGAAAGCACAAGAUGUCACAUUUAUGUGUGAGACUGUAAAGUGCUGAGCGUGUGACUGGUGGAACGAAACCGGGUAUGUGGUGCAAGAAUGGAAUGUUUUAGAACAGACGGUGGUAACUGCAAGGAGGAUGCGGAGACGAGAGGACUCAGAGGCAGUUGGUGGAAAAACUACUGUCUGGAAACCACCACCAGGAGGAGCCAGCACGCGAGUCUGCAGGGGAGGAGUCGGGCCAACAUCCAGCGGACCAAAGGAGACCAAUGAGAGAGUGCCAAGGAUACCUGAAGGAGACACAGAACCAAUAGUGAAUCAGUAGAUUGUACUUUAAAAUUGUUCUGGGAAACUCGGAUGUAGAGUACGUCGGCUGCAGGGAACAGAGACGUACAGGGUUGUAAUGAGAGGGACCUGAGACCCAGGUGUGUGUUGAAGGAAUAAAUCCACUCGUGUGUGAAAAUGCCGGUUUCCUGAUAUUUCUAUUGAAGAACGAGCGCGCGUAUUGUUGGAUGAGUGGCAGUUGGGUAAGGUCACAAAUUGGAGUCAGAUUACUAACUUAAGUUGAUGAUGAUUUAGAAAUAUAA